rnacentral:lncRNA from 1 species
AGAAUCGUUUUGGAGAAACCUCAAUCUUACUCGUCAGCUGAGCUUUAUAAAACACUUCCUUGAUAGAUGUGAACACCAAACGGAUGUACUAGUUUUCAAAACAGUUAAUAAUAUGGCAACAUUGCAUUAUAUACAAGACCUAACACAAAGUAUCUUAAAACUACAUUUUCUUAUAAUAGUAUAAAAGUUUGGAAUAAUAUACCUAUAACUAUUCGCAAUGUAAAUAGUUUUUAAUGUUUUAAUGUAACGUACAUGACAUAUCUUAAUAGUAUUUUACAGAAUAAGUGAUUGUUCGUUUUUAAUAUGAGUACAAUAGAUUUGUUGCACAAUUUGUUUAUCUCUUCCUCUUUUUUCCUGUUUUGUUCGAAAUAAAAGUGUAGCAGUGUCAUUAUUUUAACACUAUCAUUUCAUUAUAUUGUUCAUUUCAUGUUUUUACUCAUCAUUUUUCAGAUUUGUCAACAUGGGCCUUUAAAUCUUUUGUUUAUUAGUUAACAUAGGGCCUUUAAAGUACAGAAAAGUGAAAUGUUGUCACCAUUUCCACGAACUGAUUUUUUUUAGAUUGGCUAGUUUCACAUUGUUUUGACCAAUGAGAUUGGAGCAUUGGUUGUUUUGUGAUCAUGUGAUCUUGGUUUGCGGGAGAGACCGCCAUGUUUAAUUUCUACAAGGCUUAGAAGUUCUGGAGGUGUUUUUACAUUUUAGAAGUUGAUAGAUAUAUUUGGAUAUAGGAAUUGGCACAGUUACAGCUCUUGGUACACUGGUACACGAAGCACAAUUUGAGCAGACAGCUCUGUGUGGGUUACAACGUACAUGUGGGUGUUUAUUCUACAAAUAAGACCCGUACAUGUAACGCUUGAGCGGUUUGAAGUAUCCACUGGUAUACAGUUCCGAGAUUAUAAGUAAAGAGACAUUUAGAUACAUGAAGAUAUAUAGAGACUAUAAUAUAUUAACCAUACAUGUGUUCUAAAAAUUAGAAGAAUAUUGAACAGUUAAAACCCCGAAAUGUGUAGAUUCGUCUCUAUUAGAAAAAUAUACGUCGUAAAGGGUAUCAAUGAGUCAUCAUUUGAUUAUAUCAUGUGUAAAUAUAAUGGUAUGCAAGUUGCAUUAUCUGUGUCAUUGACUAUAUAUAGUUCAUUUUUGAUGGUACAUGUAUGUUGUUGUUGAUGUUCCUUUUAUUUUAAUUUCAGAAGUCCACGAUUAAAAUAAAAUGUUUAUAAGUGUUUGUAUAUUUCUUAAUGUAUUGCCCUCUUUAAACAAGUGACCGAGUAUUGCAGUGGCAAUACAGAUGUCCACUACCGUUGAAAAACUUUCAUGCAAAUAACAGUUAUGGAGCGGAAACUAUUGUAGUUGACCUUCAAUAGUGACAUUGACCUUUGACCGACAACCAUAGGCCAUGUGCGC